rnacentral:lncRNA from 1 species
GCUGUGCAUACACAGACACAUUCACCUUUGUUUUUUUUCUUUUGUAGGAAAGAAAGAUUUCCUCUGUGUGCCCUCGUAUCUGUGUAUUUCCUAUGAGAUUCACUCACCUUGAGCAGUUUUUGCACAAAGCAGCCCUGACAGUCAUUAGCCAAGUGGGUGAGUCAAGGAGUUCUCUCUCCAGGGACAGCCUGAGGGAGGACAGGCUCUCUCUAAAGUGAAGUUCCCUCUUUUUGAGGAUUUUUAAACACCUGAAGGCCUGGUUGACUCCUGCAUAGAGACUGCACAAUAGACACUGCAGCUGAAGCAUUGCUAAUUCAACAGCAGGGAAGAAUCUAAUUGUUUGUUGCUCUGGUGACUGCCAUGAUGACUAUGCAAACACGUUUUCCCCUCCCUCUCUCCAGGUUCUGUGCCCUUUGAUUGUCCCUGAGGACUUUUCUGAUUGAAGUUCAGCUGCUAUUCAUUUGCAUGAGUCAUCUCACUGGAUGACAAGGUACCCAGUUGGACCAAUCCAGAGCAGGCACCUUGCACUGAGGUAUGCACGUGGAGGGAGCAGUCUUCAAAUAAGAGAUGAAGAGGAGGUGGCUGAUUUUCCAAGAACCCCUCUAGAACAUGGCAAAAUGUGCUAUGCUUCCCACUUCCAGGCUGACCUGGUUCCCCUGGAAUGAGAGAGUAUCCUCCAAAGGAAACACGUGGUGGUGGUGCUGGGGAGGGGAUGCUCCCUGAACAUCCAGGCUGGAGCUUGUGAGGCUGUUGGGUCUCAGGGCACUGACACUGUGAGGUGUCACUGAGCAGCAGACUGCCCUGAAUGUAGGGGGGUAGAUGCAGAGCUGAAGCUGGGGUGGUGGUGGGGAAUAAAUGAUAACUUAAUAUUUGAGAGGUAAGUGUU